CCUACGGGAGGCAGCAGUGGGGAAUAUUGCACAAUGGGGGAAACCCUGAUGCAGCGACGCCGCGUGAGUGAAGAAGUAUUUCGGUAUGUAAAGCUCUAUCUGCAGGGAAGAAAAUGACGGUACCUGAUUAAGAAGCCCCGGCUAACUACGUGCCAGCAGCCGCGGGAAUACGGAGGGGGCAAGCGUUAUCCGGAUUUACUGGGUGUAAAGGGAGCGUAGACGGCAGCACAAGUCUGGAGUGAAAUGCCGGGGCUUAACCCCGGAACUGCUUUGGAAACUGUGCAGCUAGAGUGCAGGAGAGGUAAGUGGAAUUCCUGGUGUAGCGGUGAAAUGCGGAGAUAGUAGGAAGAACACCAGUGGCGAAGGCGGCUUACUGGACUGUAACUGACGUGGAGGCUCGAAAGCGUGGGGAGCAAACAGGAUUAGAUACCCCUGUAGUC
rnacentral:rRNA from 1 species